CGUCGUGCAUGUACGUAUUGAUUCAGUAAACCAAACCCACGCUAAACCACCUGGCCGAUCCUCCUAUUUACAUGGAUACGGACUCUAUCUCCUACAGCUAAUCAGCUCUAGGUAGUUUAAACUCGUAGAUAGAUUACAUUUGAAUCCGUUACAAAUAUAUCUUCUAAUACUGACAUCUUGGAAACGCAGCGCUCAACAUCCAGACAAACACCAUGCGUAACAAACUGCUCCUACAUGCUUUGGAACUCGAAGAUUUAUCCAAACAUUGGCAGAAAAUUCCACCGUGUUAACGCAGUUACGUGAUCACGUCGCGCCGGACGGCUCCUUGUCCCAAUCCUGAUGUUCGCCGAGCUUUCGGAUCACGAGCCCAGACGACUCCUCCGAGGAGCGAGAAUUUCUCGACGCGCGGCGCUCACAGCAUGACUGCACGACAGCGCGCGAGAGGGCGGUCGGCGCCAGCAGACGAACUCCUCCAUCAUUGCUCGGUCGCUCCCACCAACUGCGCCGCUAUCCGUCCUCGCAGGGGCGCAGGGCUGUGUCCCAAUGCCACCAUGCCGCUGCUCCCCUGCUCCUGCUCGCCGCCACCAGCGCCCCCUCUCCGGCCGCACUCCUCCGCCGUGCCCAGCCGCCAUGGGUUCCUCCGCUCCGCGCCUCCCAGCCUGGGCCUGGGCCUCCGCGUCGCCUCGGGGUCGGGGCGCCGCCGACUCCCCGCCGUCCUCUCUGCGAACGACCGCGUCGUGGUUCGUUGGACCCCCCCUCCCCGCGCCGCCAGACUAUCCCUCAACAACGAGGCUCAUCUCCAAGGUGGCCGACGAUGGGUUUGAGCAUCUUUGACUCUUUGUUGAUCAAAUGAAACGAGUCAGAUCGCGAAAAGGAAAAGUACCCAUCUGAUACCAUUUUCUUUUAACAAACAGUCAAGCUGGCAAUAUCCCUUGUUUCAGUACUAAUAAUAAUCAUGGCAACUACUUCCUGAUUACUGAAAUAUUGGAUGAUGGCUUUCACUAUUAAGAUGACAAUGGCAUAGAUGAUUACAUCUUCCUGUAAAAAGUUUUUGAAGAGUACAUAGCUUGUUCUUGUGUUCAAGGAUGAACAUGUAGAGCUUCUGGCUCAAUAUAUCAAGUUUGUGAAAUUUCUGAAAUUUCGUCCACCUUUGAUGAUGGCUUUCACUAUUAAGAUGACAAUGACAUAGAUGAUUACAUCUUUCCCGUAAAAGGGAUUAGAAGAAUACGUAGUUUGUUCUUGUGUUCAAGGAUGGACUUGUAGAGCUUCUGGUUCAAUAUACGUGAAAUAUCUGAAUUUUCUUCCUCCUCUAUCUCAUAUUCUUUUUGUGCUUGCAGAUUUCUGAUGGUGGGUGCACGACAUUUACUUUUGUCAUUGUUGACAACAAAACGAAAACUUCUACAUGUAAACCUGUUAUUUCUAGAUGGAUAUUGGCACGAUAUGGCAUUGGCUAUUGCUAAGCGGAAAUGUACAGGCUGAUGAGAUGAAUAUUCCAAUUUUGGUUGAUGUGGAUCCAGAAAGAACAAAGGCAGAAUUGGAAGAUCUCAAUCUAGCGAGCUGCACUGUUUGCUUGGGGAAAUUUCCAAAGGUAAAUAUUGUGAGGAAGUGAACAUCAACCUCAUCUGUACCAUGCGCACUACUAGAGACCCUUCUCCAAUUUCCUCGUGCAAAAUUUGUAUUUUUAACCCUUGGGGUAAUUGGCUGCACAAUGCUUGAGAGGAGCAAAGGUGGUCAAUAUUGGUUUUCCCAGGAUGAAUUUAACAACAGCUAGGAUCCAGUAAUGGGCACAUGUUUGCUUUGAGACUUCAAUUUAUUUACCUGAUGUUGUAUAUUAAAUAGGUGAUGAUUCUGGAAUAGGUGCAUCAGAUAUAGAAAAGGUUGCAGAGUCCCUAAAGAUGGAAGUACAAAAAGAGAUGGCAUCCUGCCGACUUGUCUGUUUUUCAAGUUCUUGAGUUUUUCUGCAAGAGGGCUUGGGACAGUAUUCGGAAGACUUCUGAUAGGAACAGCAGAGACCAUUCCGCUUCAGAGCUUGUUGAUACCACUGGUUGUGGGGAUGCAUUCAUAGGAGUAGUACUUCACGGCGGGCAUCAAGCAUCGGUGCUGGGCUGGUCUACCUCUACCCUGGCUGGCCAUUUGUGUUGUCAGUUAUAGAAAAAUGACCCGGAAUAGAAGAACCGCCGCCUUGUUCAGAAGUCCACAGGUUGAUACAUGGUGACUGGUGAGCUACAGUAUCAUUCAGCACAAGAAAUUGGAAGUUUCUCCCUCUUUUUUUAUUUGAUUUUUGGCCACUUGAAUAUGUGUUUCUAGAAGUACUGUUUGGUUGAAUAAAAUAGACCAGGGCAAACCCUCUGAAAUUCGGAUGUGCAGAACAGGUGAAUGUGUGAGUUGAGUUGAAUGCUAUUUAAAAA